AACGCACCUUGCGCUCCUUGGUAUUCCGAGGAGCAUGCCUGUUUGAGUGUCAUUAAAUUCUCAACCUUACCAUCUUUCUAUUGGGAUUGGUCUGGCUUGGAUGUGAGGGUUUUUUGCUGGCUUCGUAAAAGAGAUCAGCUCCCUUGAAAUAUAUUAGCGGUGCCUGUUGUGGAAUCGUUUAUUGGUGUGAUAAAUAUCUAUGCCAUUGGACGAGGUCUGCUUAUAUGCUGCUUCUAACUGUCUUUCUGGACAAAUUAAUGACAAUUUUGACCUCAAAUCAGGUAGGACUACCCGCUGAACUUAA
rnacentral:misc_RNA from 1 species